rnacentral:rRNA from 1 species
UGAGGAACAUGACCUUCGGCGGGGGGUAGCCGGCCCAACGGCCGGGUAAUACCGCGUACGACCUUUCGGGGACAUCCCCG